rnacentral:rRNA from 1 species
GUGAGGAAUAUUGCGCAAUGGAGGCAACUCUGACGCAGCCAUGCCGCGUGCAGGAAGAAGGCGCUACGCGUUGUAAACUGCUUUUAACCGGGAAGAAACCCCAGGACGUGUCCUGGGUUGACGGUACCGGAGGAAUAAGCACCGGCUAACUUCGUGCCAGCAGCCGCGGUAAUACGAAGGGUGCAAGCGUUAUCCGGAUUCAUUGGGUUUAAAGGGUGUGUAGGCGGAGCGUUAAGUCAGUGGUGAAAUCCUGCAGCUUAACUGUAGACUUGCCAUUGAUACUGGCGCUCAUGAGUGCGCUUGAAGUGGGCGGAAUGUGCCGUGUAGCGGUGAAAUGCUUGGAUAUGGCACAGAACACCAAUUGCGAAGGCAGCUCACUAAGGCGAUACUGACGCUGAGGCACGAAAGCGUGGGGAUCGAACAGGAUUAGAAACCCCAGUAGUCC